rnacentral:rRNA from 1 species
GCAGUCGAGCGAACAGAUAAGGAGCUUGCUCCUUUGACGUUAGCGGCGGACGGGUGAGUAACACGUGGGUAACCUACCUAUAAGACUGGGAUAACUUCGGGAAACCGGAGCUAAUACCGGAUAACAUUUGGAACCGCAUGGUUCUAAAGUGAAAGAUGGUUUUGCUAUCACUUAUAGAUGGACCCGCGCCGUAUUAGCUAGUUGGUAAGGUAACGGCUUACCAAGGCGACGAUACGUAGCCGACCUGAGAGGGUGAUCGGCCACACUGGAACUGAGACACGGUCCAGACUCCUACGGGAGGCAGCAGUAGGGAAUCUUCCGCAAUGGGCGAAAGCCUGACGGAGCAACGCCGCGUGAGUGAUGAAGGGUUUCGGCUCGUAAAACUCUGUUAUUAGGGAAGAACAAACGUGUAAGUAACUGUGCACGUCUUGACGGUACCUAAUCAGAAAGCCACGGCUAACUACGUGCCAGCAGCCGCGGUAAUACGUAGGUGGCAAGCGUUAUCCGGAAUUAUUGGGCGUAAAGCGCGCGUAGGCGGUUUCUUAAGUCUGAUGUGAAAGCCCACGGCUCAACCGUGGAGGGUCAUUGGAAACUGGGAAACUUGAGUGCAGAAGAGGAAAGUGGAAUUCCAUGUGUAGCGGUGAAAUGCGCAGAGAUAUGGAGGAACACCAGUGGCGAAGGCGACUUUUCUGGUCUGUAACUGACGCUGAUGUGCGAAAGCGUGGGGAUCAAACAGGAUUAGAUACCCUGGUAGUCCACGCCGUAAACGAUGAGUGCUAAGUGUUAGGGGGUUUCCGCCCCUUAGUGCUGCAGCUAACGCAUUAAGCACUCCGCCUGGGGAGUACGACCGCAAGGUUGAAACUCAAAGGAAUUGACGGGGACCCGCACAAGCGGUGGAGCAUGUGGUUUAAUUCGAAGCAACGCGAAGAACCUUACCAAAUCUUGACAUCCUUUGAAAACUCUAGAGAUAGAGCCUUCCCCUUCGGGGGACAAAGUGACAGGUGGUGCAUGGUUGUCGUCAGCUCGUGUCGUGAGAUGUUGGGUUAAGUCCCGCAACGAGCGCAACCCUUAAGCUUAGUUGCCAUCAUUAAGUUGGGCACUCUAGGUUGACUGCCGGUGACAAACCGGAGGAAGGUGGGGAUGACGUCAAAUCAUCAUGCCCCUUAUGAUUUGGGCUACACACGUGCUACAAUGGACAAUACAAAGGGCAGCUAAACCGCGAGGUCAUGCAAAUCCCAUAAAGUUGUUCUCAGUUCGGAUUGUAGUCUGCAACUCGACUACAUGAAGCUGGAAUCGCUAGUAAUCGUAGAUCAGCAUGCUACGGUGAAUACGUUCCCGGGUCUUGUACACACCGCCCGUCACACCACGAGAGUUUGUAACACCCGAAGCCGGUGGAGUAACCAUUU